CGUAGGUGGCAAGCGUUAUCCGGAAUUACUGGGCGUAAAGGGUGCGUAGGCGGUCUUUCAAGCCAGAAGUGAAAGGCUACGGCUCAACCGUAGUAAGCUUUUGGAACUGUAAGACUUGAGUGCAGGAGAGGAGAAUGGAAUUCCUAGUGUAGCGGUGAAAUGCGUAGAGAUUAGGAAGAACACCAGUGGCGAAGGCGAUUCUCUGGACUGUAACUGACGCUGAGGCUCGAAAGCGUGGGGAGCAAACAGGAUUAGAUACCCCGGUAGUCCCU
rnacentral:rRNA from 1 species